UACGUAGGGUGCAAGCGUUGUCCGGAAUUAUUGGGCGUAAAGAGCUCGUAGGCGGUUUGUCGCGUCGUUCGUGAAAACUCACAGCUUAACUGUGAGCUUGCGGUCGAUACGGGCAGGCUAGAGUUCGGUAGGGGAGAGUGGAAUUCCCGGUGUAGCGGUGAAAUGCGCAGAUAUCGGGAAGAACACCGGUGGCGAAGGCG
rnacentral:rRNA from 1 species